GGACCCGUAGCUCAGCGGUAGAGCAUCUGAUUCCAGUUAGUUAGUUCCUUCAUUCUCGCUGGCAUCGCAGAAAAUAGUAUCCAGAAGGUCAUCCGUUCAAAUCGGGUCGGGUUCA